AGAGUUUGAUCCUGGCUCAGAGUGAACGCUGGCGGUAGGCCUAACACAUGCAAGUCGAACGGCAGCACAGUAAGAGCUUGCUCUUACGGGUGGCGAGUGGCGGACGGGUGAGGAAUACAUCGGAAUCUACUUUUUCGUGGGGGAUAACGUAGGGAAACUUACGCUAAUACCGCAUACGACCUACGGGUGAAAGCAGGGGAUCUUCGGACCUUGCGCGAUUGAAUGAGCCGAUGUCGGAUUAGCUAGUUGGCGGGGUAAAGGCCCACCAAGGCGACGAUCCGUAGCUGGUCUGAGAGGAUGAUCAGCCACACUGGAACUGAGACACGGUCCAGACUCCUACGGGAGGCAGCAGUGGGGAAUAUUGGACAAUGGGCGCAAGCCUGAUCCAGCCAUACCGCGUGGGUGAAGAAGGCCUUCGGGUUGUAAAGCCCUUUUGUUGGGAAAGAAAUCCAGCUGGUUAAUACCCGGUUGGGAUGACGGUACCCAAAGAAUAAGCACCGGCUAACUUCGUGCCAGCAGCCGCGGUAAUACGAAGGGUGCAAGCGUUACUCGGAAUUACUGGGCGUAAAGCGUGCGUAGGUGGUCGUUUAAGUCUGUUGUGAAAGCCCUGGGCUCAACCUGGGAACUGCAGUGGAAACUGGACGACUAGAGUGUGGUAGAGGGUAGCGGAAUUCCUGGUGUAGCAGUGAAAUGCGUAGAGAUCAGAGGAACAUCCAUGGCGAAAGCAGCUACCUGGACCAACACUGACACUGAGGCACGAAAGCGUGGGG
rnacentral:rRNA from 1 species